UACGUAGGGUGCGAGCGUUGUCCGGAAUUAUUGGGCGUAAAGAGCUUGUAGGCGGUUUGUCGCGUCUGCUGUGAAAAUCCGGGGCUCAACCCCGGACUUGCAGUGGGUACGGGCAGACUAGAGUGUGGUAGGGGAGACUGGAAUUCCUGGUGUAGCGGUGGAAUGCGCAGAUAUCGGGAGGAACACCAAUGGCGAAGGCAGCUUACUGGGACGGUACUGACGCUGAGGCGCGAAAGCGUGGGGAGCAAACAGG
rnacentral:rRNA from 1 species